GAUGAAGAACGCAGCGAAAUGCGAUAAGUAGUGUGAAUUGCAGAAUUCAGUGAAUCAUCGAAUCUUUGAACGCACAUUGCGCCCCUUGGUAUUCCAUGGGGCAUGCCUGUUCGAGCGUCAUUUGUACCUUCAAGCUCUGCUUGGUGUUGGGUGUUUGUCCUUGCUCUAGUGGCGGGACUCGCCUUAAAGUAAUUGGCAGCCAGUGUUUUGGUUUUGAAGCGCAGCACAAGUCGCGAUUCAAGUCUAUACGCUAGUUUCCACAAGUCUUUUAUCACUUUUGACCUCGGAUCAGGUAGGGAUACCCGCUGAACUUAAGCAUAUCAUAAGCGGAGGA
rnacentral:misc_RNA from 1 species